rnacentral:rRNA from 1 species
UGAACGCUAGCGGCAGGCCUAACACAUGCAAGUCGAGGGGUAACAGAGAGAAGCUUGCUUUUCUGCUGACGACCGGCGCACGGGUGCGUAACGCGUAUACAAUCUGCCUUAUACAGAGGGAUAGCCUUUAGAAAUGAAGAUUAAUACCUUAUGGUCUAUUUUUAUAGCAUUAUAUAAAUAGUAAAGCUUCGGUGGUAUAAGAUGAGUAUGCGUCCUAUUAGUUAGUUGGUAAGGUAACGGCUUACCAAGACAACGAUAGGUAGGGGCCCUGAGAGGGGGAUCCCCCACACUGGUACUGAGACACGGACCAGACUCCUACGGGAGGCAGCAGUGAGGAAUAUUGGACAAUGGAGGCAACUCUGAUCCAGCCAUGCCGCGUGCAGGAUGACGGCCCUAUGGGUUGUAAACUGCUUUUAUAUAGGAAGAAACCUUUUCACGUGUGAGAAGCUGACGGUACUAUAAGAAUAAGGACCGGCUAA